rnacentral:sRNA from 1 species
UGAUAAUUGUCAGGUAUUAAUUGUUAUUCAGCGUUCAGCCCUCCGCAUUUCCCCUUUGAAGGGAUAACAUCCCCCCUUCGCUUCCGCUCUUCCCCCCUUUGAAGGGGGGGCUGGGGGGAUGUUCCUCUGUGUUCAGGCACAUAACAAUUGACCAUUAACCAUUACUUUGUCAUUCAGAGCGAAGCGAAGAAUCUCCUUCUGUCACUUUUGGCUUGACCCAAAAGUAACCAAAAGGUCAAGGCUUCGUGCGCUUCGCACGUCGUCGCGACGCUCGCGGGUCGGAAAAUCAGGUAACUCGCUUCGCUCGGACAGCCUGAUUUUCUUACGCCCCGCUCGCUGCUCCGUCGGCUCACCGCCCGAGGCCCAUGGGACGAACGCCUCUGCGUUCGCCUUUUUCCCCAACGCUUCGCAUUGGGCUGAAUGAUCUCGCCCUUUCAGGGCUGUUACAUCGGUCAGCCAUCAGCAAACAGAUCAACAACUCAACAGCUCAACCCCUCAACAAUUCAACAGCUCAACAGCUCAACAGCUCAACAUCUCAACACUUGCAGGGCUGAAAGCCUGAAUUAAUUCAGCGA